rnacentral:rRNA from 1 species
GACACGACUCUYGGCAAUGGAUAUCUCGGCUCUCGCAUCGAUGAAGAGCGCAGCGAAAUGCGAUACGUGGUGCGAAUUGCAGAAUCCCGCGAAC